AAGAUUGUUUGACGAUGAGAGAGAGCACGCUUGUCAGCAUUCACGCACAUGCGUGCUGUCUCGCAUCGUUAUAUAAUC
rfam:Spinacia oleracea cultivar SynViroflay scaffold10068.con0019.1, whole genome shotgun sequence.